rnacentral:rRNA from 1 species
GGGCCCGCACAAGCGGCGGAGCAUGUUGCUUAAUUCGAGGCAACGCGAAGAACCUUACCAGGGUUUGACAUCCUGCGAAUCUCUUGGAAACGAGAGAGUGCCUUCGGGAACGCAGUGACAGGUGGUGCAUGGCUGUCGUCAGCUCGUGUCGUGAGAUGUUGGGUUAAGUCCCGCAACGAGCGCAACCCACGUCGUUAGUUGCCAGCAUUUAGUUGGGCACUCUAGCGAGACCGCCGGUGAUAAACCGGAGGAAGGUGUGGAUGACGUCAAGUCAUCAUGCCCCUUACAUCCUGGGCUACACACGUACUACAAUGCUACGGACAAAGGGCUGCAAGUUCGCGAGGACAAGCAAAUCCCAUAAACCGUGGCUCAGUUCAGAUCGUAGGCUGCAACUCGCCUACGUG